GAUGAACGCUGGCGGCGUGCCUAAUACAUGCAAGUCGAGCGAACGGACGAGAAGCUUGCUUCUCUGAUGUUAGCGGCGGACGGGUGAGUAACACGUGGAUAACCUACCUAUAAGACUGGGAUAACUUCGGGAAACCGGAGCUAAUACCGGAUGAUAUUUUGAACCACAUGGUUCAAAAGUGAAAGACGGUCUUGCUGUCACUUAUAGAUGGAUCCGCGCUGCAUUAGCUAGUUGUUAAGGUAACGGCUUACCAAGGCAACGAUGCAUAGCCGACCUGAGAGGGUGAUAGGCCACACUGGAACUGAGACACGGUCCAGACUCCUACGGGAGGCAGCAGUAGGGAAUCUUCCGCAAUGGGCGAAAGCCUGACGGAGCAACGCCGCGUGAGUGAUGAAGGUCUUCGGAUCGUAAAACUCUGUUAUUAGGGAAGAACAUAUGUGUAAGUAACUGUGCACAUCUUGACGGUACCUAAUCAGAAAGCCACGGCUAACUACGUG
rnacentral:rRNA from 1 species